rnacentral:rRNA from 1 species
UACGUAGGGUGCAAGCGUUGUCCGGAAUUAUUGGGCGUAAAGAGCUCGUAGGCGGUUAGUCGCGUCUGCUGUGAAAACUCGGGGCUUAACUCCGGGCCUGCAGUGGGUACGGGCUGACUAGAGUGCGGUAGGGGAGACUGGAAUUCCUGGUGUAGCGGUGAAAUGCGCAGAUAUCAGGAGGAACACCGGUGGCGAAGGCGGGUCUCUGGGCCGUAACUGACGCUGAGGCGCGACAGCGUGGGGAGCAAACAGG